UGGCGCCAUUUUGGAGUGGCGGCGGCGGCAGCUCCGUGCCCGGUGCCUCGCUCGGGGUCUCUCCCGGUUCUUCCCCGGCCCCGUCCCCGUCCCGUCCCUUCCGCCCCGCCGGCGGCAGCAUGAGUGUGGUGGAGCACGUGCGCGAGAUGGCGGCCGCCGGGCUGCACUCGAACGUGCGGCUGCUCAGCGGGCUGCUCCUCACCAUGAGCGGCAACAACCCGGAGCUGUUCUCUCCCUCUCAGAAGUACCAGCUCCUUGUCUACCAUGCAGACUCCCUGUUCCAUGACAAGGAGUACAGGAAUGCUGUCAGCAAGUACACCAUGGCCUUACAGCAGAAAAAAGCCUUAAGUAAAACCUCCAAAGUCAGGCCUUCUACUGGGAAUGCUGCAUCAACACCCCAAAGCCAGUGUUUACCAUCAGAAAUUGAAGUGAAAUACAAAAUGGCUGAAUGUUACACAAUGCUGAAGCAAGAUAAAGAUGCCAUUGCUAUUCUUGAUGGGAUUCCUUCCAGGCAGAGAACUCCAAAGAUCAACAUGAUGCUGGCAAACCUGUACAAGAAGGCCGGCCAGGAGCGCUCCUCGGUGACGAGCUACAAGGAGGUGCUGAGGCAGUGUCCCUUGGCCCUGGAUGCCAUCCUAGGUUUGCUCUCACUGUCAGUGAAGGGAGCAGAAGUGGCCUCCAUGACCAUCAACAUCAUCCAGAGCAUUCCCAACCUAGACUGGCUCUCAGUGUGGAUCAAGGCAUACGCCUUUGUGCAUACUGGAGACAACACCAGGGCAAUAAACACCAUUUGCUCUUUAGAGAAGAAGUCAUUGCUGAGGGACAAUGUGGACUUGCUGGGGAGCUUAGCAGACCUGUACUUCAGAGCUGGAGAUAAUAAAAACUCUAUCCUAAAAUUUGAACAAGCACAAAUGCUGGAUCCUUACCUAAUAAAAGGAAUGGAUGUUUAUGGUUAUUUAUUGGCACGUGAGGGUCGGCUGGAGGAUGUGGAGAACUUGGGCUGCCGGCUCUUUAACAUUUCUGACCAACAUGCAGAGCCCUGGGUGGUGUCUGGGUGUCACAGUUUCUACAGCAAACGCUACUCCCGUGCCUUGUACCUGGGAGCCAAAGCAAUCCAGCUGAACAGCAACAGUGUGCAGGCUCUGCUGCUGAAGGGAGCUGCCCUGAGAAACAUGGGCCGCGUGCAGGAGGCCAUCAUCCACUUCAGGGAGGCCAUCAGGCUGGCCCCCUGCCGCCUGGACUGCUACGAGGGUCUCAUCGAGUGUUACCUGGCGUCCAACAGCAUCCGUGAAGCCAUGGUGAUGGCAAACAACGUGUACAAAACCCUGGGGGCAAACGCACAGACCCUCACCCUGCUGGCCACAGUCUGCCUGGAGGACCCAGUCACGCAGGAAAAGGCAAAAACGUUGCUGGACAAAGCUCUCACACAAAGACCUGACUACAUUAAAGCUGUGGUAAAGAAAGCAGAACUUCUCAGCAGAGAGCAGAAGUAUGAAGAUGGGAUUGCCUUGCUGAGGAAUGCCCUGGCCAACCAGAGUGACUGUGUCCUGCACCGCAUCCUGGGCGACUUCCUGGUGGCUGUCAACGAGUACCAGGAGGCCAUGGACCAGUACAGCAUAGCCCUGAGUUUGGAUCCAAAUGAUCAGAAGUCACUGGAAGGACUGCAGAAAAUGGAAAAAGAGGAAAGUCCAACAGAUGCCACCCAGGAAGAAGAUGUGGAUGACAUGGAGGGAAGUGGAGAAGAGGGGGACUUGGAAGGCAGUGACAGUGAAGCAGCCCAGUGGGCAGAUCAAGAACAGUGGUUUGGGAUGCAGUAAAAGCCUCCUGCUGCUUUUUUUGGCACUUGAACACACCACUAGGGCCACUCUUUUGAGAAGAACAGAAACUAUGGUUUUUUUUCAGUAACAAAGAACUUUUUUUUUGUUUUAAUAGACUCUGAAACCAAUUAAUAGUUCUGUGCAUCUCAGUACUGUGGAGAUUCUUGAUGCUUCUUAUUUAUUAAGUGUAAGGGACUAACUGCAUCCAAGGUUAUUUACAACUUCCAUUUUGAAAAAUUCCUGCUCAAACUAAAACCAUCAGAAUCUGAGGUGUGUAAUGAGCCUUUUGUUUGUGAUGAAAGCAAUGUCUGAGUUCUGUCCAGGGCUGAGUGCUUGGGCAAAUUGUAAAUCCAGUGGUUUGUACACCUUUGUGGAAAGGCCUUGCUCAUUUGUGUGCAGCCAUUUGAGUCUGGGGGAGCUACUUGAGUGUGGCUGAAAGCAGCACUUUCCUUUUGCUGUGUUUGUUGAAUUAAUUUGUCUUUUUCUAGGGCAUUACCUGUGCUGUCCAGGAUAAAUUUGGGACAAUAGGCAACUUGGACUUGCUGGACACUUUUCGUAGCUGAUUUCUCUGUGUACAGAAUUGAGCCAGUGGUGGAGAAUUAAAGUCAUUUCCUCAACCCUUACUAACCCUGCAGUCACUUUAAGUCUGUGCAUGAGCAUUUAUUUUAAAAUGCAGUUUAGUUUUAUUUCAGUAUGUUCCUGGAAGGUUUUGCAACAGUGACUCAAAGCACUUUACAUUCUGUGUACAGCACUGACAUUUAAAAUGCUAUAAAAAGAAUUAAUCCCUCUUCCCUUGCACUGCUGGAGAAAUGUUAAAUUAUGCAAAUACACAUAUUGUCCUGGUUUUUCCAUGUUUAUAUACUUCCUGGCUUUGUCAGGUAAUUUUUGAAUUUAUGUCUUUUUCCCUCAUCUUUUGAAACAAAUUUGCUUCAUGUACAAAUUUCCAACCUGAGCAUUUCAAGGGUGAACUGCCUUGGGUAAUCUAGAAACUGUUUCAGUUCUGUGGGCUUGGUGUGUGGGAAGAGGAAUUACUUAUUUUUCUUACAGUUCUGAUUGACUUAGUCUUCACCAAAAUGUGGUUUUAUAAUCUUUAUAUCAAGAGUUUAAUUCCUUUUGUAUUUAUUUUGUUACCACAGGUAUGCUGGAGCACACAGACUUUUUAGACAGCUAAAAAAAUAGUUUUGAGUAUCAGUUGGAGGAAAAAUGGCUGUUUGUUACAAACACAUGACAUGGAAAAGAAGCUUCUCCCUGAAAGGCAGAUAAGGAACAGGCAGGAAACUAAAACGACUUCAAGAUGAGUCCUUGGGUGCAGCUUGAGCAAACAAGUCCAGGCACAGCUCAGAACACCUAGAGAUGGCUGUCAAAAGGGAUUUGUAUCCUCACAGCUUUGGUUUUCUGAGAACUUGGCUCCUUACUGGAAAUGGGAAGUUGGGAGAGUGUGCAGGUGAAGCCUGGUGAGUACCUGAUGUGUUGGGGCUGUGUAGCUGUGUGUGAUCUUUGCUAAGAGUUCACUGUGGCUGCGGAGCUCUGAGGUGCCACAUAUAUUGAGAUUGUAAAGAAAGAUCCAUUUGGCCCUCACUUCAGAACUCUAGAGGGAUUCUGCUUGCCUAUUAAUGAGCCUUCAUUACUGCUUUAAUUUUAGAAUGUGAUCUCUGGUUCUGCAGAGGUCUGGUACUCUCCAAUGCAGUUACAGGCAUUUAGUUCAGAGAAUAUAACAAUUAGCCCUUAAUAAGCAGCUGACCUCAUUCCCUGCCUCAAUCACAUGCUCUGCACCCGAGAAGAAAAGAUCACAAAGCCAAGAACUGAAGUUCAGGCUCUGUUAGAUCAGUGAUGGAAGUGAAACAGUGUGGACAUGAGGCAAGAAAUCUGUUGCCAUCCAGCUGUACUGUGAAGUGUUGGUGUGUCUGAGGUGCUGGGUAAGGGCAGAGUGCCCCUGUUUGCCUGAAAUCCUGGAAUUUAAACCACAUAUUUCAUUACUAACUUCUAACUCUUUCCUACUUGGACAGGAAGUGAUGGGAAAGGGACAGAGUUUCUUCAAACUGUACAUUGACUUGGCUAAGGGCUUAAAGGCUGAAUUGACCAGAGUCUGAAAGCAGCACACAUUCAUGGUGUGCUUAGAAAUUGCCUAAAUAAUGCAUUUACUCCUAUCAUGUGCUGAUAACACCUGCAAUACUGGCAGUGUUUCUAGUUCUGAAGAUUUCUUGAUCAUGGGAAUUCAGGAAUUGUGAAGCAGAAAUAAAGCAGGGACUGAGGACUGCUGGCCAGUAUCAGUGUUCUCUAUUGAAUUGAGGUGCUUCUGCUGCUGCUGCUGAUUACAGAGAGAUUUUUGAUUAACUAGGACUUUUCUUCCCCCUUUCAGUAGCUGUCUUCCUCAUUAAGCCUCUUUGUGUGGUGAUUCUUCUCUUCUUGCUUUUCAGGAGCUCAGUGAUGUGGAAACUGAUCCAUGCAGGGCAGAAGCAGGCAGGAUUUCUGAUUCAGCAAACCUUAUUCCCUCACUUAGAUCUCAAUGGUAAGGAAAUCUGCAAGGCUGUGUCUGCCAUUGUUAUUUCAAGUUACACAAACAUACCACAACCAAAUAUAUUUUAAAAACCCAAAUCUGUCUUAAAUUUAGUGACCUUAGGAGGGCUUAAACUCAGUAUAAACCUAUGGUUUCAAACUAGAUAGUCUUAGUUGGUUAACAUGUCCUUUGGAAGCUGGCCAAGAGGAGGCAAGGAUGUAUAUAAGACUAGGUGUUUGGGGAGGAAAUUGAUAAUAAAAUACAGUUCUUUUGCUGCAAAGAGGGAAAAAAUAAAAUGUUCACCUGGGGAAUUUCAGUGUAACAAUUUGGGUAUUAAGGAAAGCCCUUUGGUGGAACAACACAAUAGAAUAAUCUCGGUUUUCACUCACAGAGUUGAGCCUGGCCUUUGCUUUGCAAAGUCUGGGGUAUGGGAGUGGGUCCCCAGUGGAUGUUUACUCUGUACAAGCCUCUCCCUUUCCAAGAGUUUUCAGAGGGGCCAAGGACUUUUGUGAGUUUGGAGAUCAGAUUCCUUUUCCUGUCCUAUCAUCCUAUCAAAACAGCAAUGUGGCAAAUGGGGUGAUGGUUUGGGGUGUGAGGUAAAAUCCUGGAGCCUGAUAAAUUGAUGCCCAAAGUCUUCUCUGCACCUCCAUGUGGGUAAACUGUUGGGUUGAAAUCUUCUAGAAAACCUCCUCAGGUGCUCAGAGCUUCUCUCAUUUCUCACCCACUCUCCUGGGGGUGGAUGUGGGCUCUAAUCAUACUCAAAUUCACCUCGAGGUAAAAAUAGUGAUA